CACAAACAAAAUGAAAGCUGAUCUCUCACAUCUCUUGUGUCUGAAACCAGUCCGACCAGUUCUCUUUUACUUUUCCCAGUGCUAUGCUGCCUGCUUUUUCAAGCCCAACCCUACUUUAGGCCAUUUUUCAGGGCACAGCUUACAAAUGGCUCUGGCGCGCUGUCGUCUCGCUCUCCUCUUCGCCAUCUUUAUGGAUCUGGUUGGUUUAGCUUCUCUGCUCGUCGGGAUCUUUGCAGAACUGAAGCUGAAUGGACAGGAUUUCGGGGACCUUCUGAUUUACACGGGGGCCAUCCUGGUCUUCCUGAGCCUCGUCGGCUGGAUCUUCUGGUACACGGGGAACAUUGAGAUAUCGCUGGAGGAGUUACAGCAAGAUUACUCCUCCAAGGCCGGAACGUUGGCCCGAUUAGCCCGGAAAAUCUCCCGCCACCUCUCUCACAGCGACGUGAACCACGGGAAGAGGAAAAGGCACCACGAGCACCGGGAGGCCAUGGAAAAGGUUGACACAUUACAGCUGUCGAGGACAAAGAACCUAAAAAAGGAAGUGGAUGAGUGUUUAUAAUCCAUAUCAACAUGGAUCCCUCUUAAAAGGAUUGGCAUGAAUUAUAACACCCGCCAUCUUGGACUCUUCAGAACAACAUUUGGAUGGAGUUAAAAUUCUGUUCACUUGAUCGGUCAAUCCAUUCGAACAGUGCAUCACUUGAAGAUGAAGCCAAAGUGGAAAACAUGUUACAUGUUAUCAGAAGACAUAAUCCAGUCCUGUAGACCUUCUAAUGGCCAAAGCUUGUUACAGGAUUCUCCUUUAGGAGUUUAUUACUUUCCUGAGGGGCUUAAAUGUCUGAAGCAGAGUCACCAAGCUCACAUUUUUAUGAACAAUUUAGUCAAGUCAUAAAAAGAUCAACAAUGUUAUGGUCCAAAGGGGAUAUAUAGCAUCUACACACUCCUUGACUGUGCCGCCUGAAUCGACUUCAGUUUCUCGAUCACCAUUCUCCUGUUUCUGGACUCCGCUCUCUAUAGGCUCCAAGGUGUUUUUACAUCUCUUGUAUGCACUAAACCUGUGUGUCCUGAUCAUCUGCUGCACACAUAGUGCACAUAGUGAGUAAUCAUUCUUAUGUAACAGGUGGAUUUCUACAUAAUUCACAAAACAUUAUUGCUGUGAUAAAAAA